AGAAACUCAAUUUUCGUCGGCGUGCAUGAAUCUGGUGCACGGUUUUCCAGUUGUAAUAUCGCUUCGUGACUAGAUUACAUGCUCGUCUAUGAAGUUGAGAUCC
rnacentral:pre_miRNA from 11 species